GUCACUGAGUGCAUUUUAAACAUUCAGGAUGUUGUCCGCUCUCUAAUUCAAGUAGUUUUGAUCCGAUCUUCACCAAACUUGGUCCGAAGUUGUAUCUAGAUGAUCUUAAGGCCAAGUUUGAACAUGGGCCUUGCCGGGUCAAAAACUAGGUCACUGGGUCACUUUGUGCUUUUUUAACAUUCAGCAUGGUGUCCUCUCUCUUAUUCAAGUAGUUUUCAUCCGAUCUUCACCAAACUUGGUCAGAAGUUUUAUCUAGAUGAUCUGAAGGCCAAGUUCGAACAUGGGCCAUGCCAGAUCAAAAACUAGGUCACAGGGUCACUUAGUAUGUUUUACACAUUGAGCAUGGUGUCUGCUCUCUAUUUCAAGUAGUUUAAAUCCGAUCUUCACCACACUUGGUCAGAAGUUGUAACUAGAUGAUGUGUAGGUCAAGUUCGAACAUGGGCCAUGCCGGGUCAAAAACUAGGUCAUGGGGUCACUUAGUGCAUUUUAAACAUCACGAUGUUGUCCGCUGUCUAAUUCAAGUAGUUUUCAUCCAAUCUUCACCAAACUUGGUCAGAUAUUGUAUCUAGAUGAUGUCUAGGUCAAGUUUGAAUAUGGGUCAU